rnacentral:rRNA from 1 species
GAUCAUGGCUCAGGAUGAACGCUGGCGGCGUGCUUAACACAUGCAAGUCGAACGAAGCACUUUAACCUGAUUCUUCGGAUGAAGGUUUUGUGACUGAGUGGCGGACGGGUGAGUAACGCGUGGGUAACCUGCCUCAUACAGGGGGAUAACAGUUGGAAACGACUGCUAAUACCGCAUAAGCGCACAGGAUCGCAUGAUCCGGUGUGAAAAACUCCGGUGGUAUGAGAUGGACCCGCGU